CCAUCACAGCUGCGAUUCAUGCAGUCGAGCGGUAGCACAGAGAGCUUGCUCUCGGGUGACGAGCGGCGGCGGGUGAGUAAUGUCUGGGAAACUGCCUGAUGGAGGGGGAUAACUACUGGAAACGGUAGCUAAUACCGCAAACGUCGCAAGACCAAAGUGGGGGACCUUCGGGCCUCAUGCCAUCAGAUGUGCCCAGAUGGGAUUAGCUAGUAGGUGGGGUAACGGCUCACCUAGGCGACCAUCCCUAGCUGGUCUGAGAGGAUGACCAGCCACACUGGACUGAGACACGGUCCAGACUCCUACGGGAGGCAGCAGUGGGGAAUAUUGCACAAUGGGCGCAAGCCUGAUGCAGCCAUGCCGCGUGUAUGAAGAAGGCCUUCGGGUUGUAAAGUACUUUCAGCGGGGAGGAAGGCGAUAAGGUUAAUAACCUUGUCGAUUGACGUUACCCGCAGAAGAAGCACCGGCUAACUCCGUGCCAGCAGCCGCGGUAAUACGGAGGGUGCAAGCGUUAAUCGGAAUUACUGGGCGUAAAGCGCACGCAGGCGGUCUGUCAAGUCGGAUGUGAAAUCCCCGGGCUCAACCUGGGAACUGCAUUCGAAACUGGCAGGCUAGAGUCUUGUAGAGGGGGGUAGAAUUCCAGGUGUAGCGGUGAAAUGCGUAGAGAUCUGGAGGAAUACCGGUGGCGAAGGCGGCCCCCUGGACAAAGACUGACGCUCAGGUGCGAAAGCGUGGGGAGCAAACAGGAUUAGAUACCCUGGUAGUCCACGCCGUAAACGAUGUCGAUUUGGAGGUUGUGCCCUUGAGGCGUGGCUUCCGGAGCUAACGCGUUAAAUCGACGCCUGGGGAGUACGGCCGCAAGGUUAAAACUCAAAUGAAUUGACGGGGGCCCGCACAAGCGGUGGAGCAUGUGGUUUAAUUCGAUGCAACGCGAAGAACCUUACCUGGUCUUGACAUCCACAGAACUUGCCAGAGAUGGGCUUGGUGCCUUCGGGAACUGUGAGACAGGUGCUGCAUGGCUGUCGUCAGCUCGUGUUGUGAAUGUUGGGUUAAGUCCCGCAACGAGCGCACCCUUAUCCUUUGUUGCCAGCGGUUAGGCCGGAACUCAAGGAGACUGCCAGUGUAACUGGAGAAGGGGUGGGAUGACGUCAAGUCAUCAUGUCCCUAACGAACAAGCCUAACCCACGUGCUAAUGGCGCAUACGAGGGAGACAGGCAU
rnacentral:rRNA from 1 species